rnacentral:rRNA from 1 species
UACGGGGGGUGCGAGCGUUGUCCGGAUUCACUGGGCGUAAAGGGCGCGUAGGCGGCCGCAUCAGUCCGACUUUUAAGAGCGGGGCUCACCCCCGUGGGGGGUCGGGGACGGUGCGGCUGGGGCGCGGCAGAGGGGUGCGGAAUGCCGGGUGUAGUGGUGAAAUGCGUAGAGAUCCGGCGGAACACCGGUGGUGGAAGCGG